rnacentral:misc_RNA from 1 species
CAGCUCUCGCCAGCACGUUGUGCUGCUGCCGCUGGCGGCCAAAGGAAAAUCUUUCUUUCUGCUCCUGUUCCCUCUUCCAUUGUUAGCUAACAGUCAUUCUCCAUUCCUCCACUGGGCCGUGUGCCACCUCCGAUCACGGAACACACAGACACCCCACCCUCACUCCCUCUUCCGUAUCUCUGAGUCCGCGCCUUCACAAGCUGCAACUCUCGGUCGUCGUUUCUAACCCGUUGCCAUCGUGCGUGCCGUCACAUCUCUGCAUCUCUCGCGCCCGUGUACGUACUGGUGUGCACGCGUGCCAUCCCCCCCCCAUCCUACCCUGUGCGCACCCCUGGCCAAUAGCCCUGCCCUUCUUUUCCGCCUUGACACUCCAGUAGUCCUCUUCUCGGCCUCAACGUAUCUGUCAUCCACCUCGUCAGCAGCACCGUCUGUCGCGUGAACGCAGCGCGACCGUGUGCCAUCAGCCGUGAGCGGCGAGAGGACAGACUGCCGCUCACCGACAAGCAAGCCGGAGGCGGACAGCGAAGAGAGAAAAACGAAAGCGAGAAGGCGAAGGGUUGUACGCGGACGACGUUGGAAUCGCAAGAACGCGCCCGCACGCAUGCGCGCCGCCGACAACGCGUCGCGACGGUAGCUUCUCUGAUACCAUUGCGGCUGUGGUGCUCACAGCCCUGCUCUUGCCGUCGCCCUCCACCUCUCUGAGUUGAUGUUGUUGUGGAAUCGGGUGCCUGAGCAUCACCGCCACCCCACUUCCCUCCUCACCUUGGCUGCACGGCACUCGGCAGGGCUUCCGCCGCACGGGUCGAACCGGCAGGGCGGUGAUGCGACUCUGCUGUCCCGGCAUACGCGGCCUCCCUUGUUUGUCCUUUUUUUUUUCGUUCGUUUCCUCUUCUUCUAGGGUGGGGUGGGGAGUGGCUGUUGGCUUCCCUCUCGGAGCGUGUGUGUGUGUGUGCGUGUGUUCACCUAUUGGCCGAGUUUCGCGUGGCACGCACGCACCGGCCGUCCCGGCUCACAUCUAUCAGCCCUUGCGUUCAACACUCAACACUCCACACACACGCACACGCACACACAUCCCCUCCCCUUCUCUCUCUAUCGGCCCGCUGUUUUCGUGGUGAUCAUUGUCGUUGUGCGUUGUCGAUCAAGUAGAACACGUACGAAGGUGACGUGUGUCGCGCUCUGGACUGUACUCCGCCGUGCUUGCUCGCCGCCACCAACAUCUCUUCCUGCUCCUGUUUCGCUCUCUCUUUCCCACAUACUAGCUCCUUUACUUGCUUGGCUACAUCGUGUUGCGUCCUCCGCACAUAUAUUCCUCUGACUUCCUUGUCUGCCUCUCUCCGUCGCUCGCGCACGCGUCCGUCCGCGUCACGCUGCUCCGAAGAAAAUACGAGCACGCCGUCGCUCUUCCGUGCGUUGUGUAGGUUUCGCUGUGGCAAUUUCUUUUUUUUUCUCUGUUCGGCGUUGCGUGUCUUUACAUCGCCGUCGUUGUCGUUCCUCCUCUGCUGCUUGUGUGUGCGCCUGUCUGUGAGCGCGCGCUCGAAACUUCAUUUGCUCUGCUCCUCCUCACCCCACAAGCCCGAUCCUCGCCACUGGAGACGCGCACUCCGCCCUCUCUUUCAGUUUUCCCUACAGCAUCGACCCCCUCCCCCACUCCCCGCCCUCUCUCUCUCCCUGUACGUGCGUGCGUGUGCGUGUACUUGAGCCGCAUCUCGUGUCGCGGAGCGCUUCUCUUCGGUCGUGUUGCGUCUCUGUUGUGUUUUGUUCCCGUUGUGAGACCUCCAGGCGUGGGGCACCUGCGCCCCCUCCUGUCCUUCGGUGGGGCACACACGCACGUGCACACGCACCCGCAUCUCCGCAACCCUGCUCUGUUGUGCCGUUCUCUUGGGCAUUGUUUUGGCGCCAUCUCUUCCCCCGUCCCCGUCUUCCCUCCGCCUCCGCCCUCUUUCCUGUUCGUGUGCGCGCGUGUCUGCGGACGCUGUCGGCAUCAGCGAGACGCGCGCACGCGCCCACGGGAAGGAACACAUUCGCAGAGGCGCUGCACCACAACGAAGAAUCCGCUCGUUUCCGUCACUGGUGCGUCCGCGCUUACCUACGCCUUGUCCACGGUCCAUCGCUCGCUACUGCGGCGUACUGUGUCCACGUCACGCAGGCCGCCCUUCUCCUCCUGCUUCUUCUCCGCCCGGCGUGUAUCCACUCGUCUUAGGCCUUGGCUUUUUCUUCUUUUUUUCUAUACCCCCGAUCGCACUUCCGGCUGCCCCCUCCCCCUGUACACGGGCUCACACGUUCGCUCCUUCACCCCUCCCCCCCCAUACACACACACACAUCCCCCUGCCUCUUCCUACGGCUUUCGUGUUCGCUUAUUGCUUGUUGUUGGUCCCUCUCCGUCCUCCCAGUGGCCGCCGUCUUCGUCCCGCUUCUCUCUGCCUGUGUGCGUGCACGUGUCUGUCUGCGGGAACGCCUCUUGUUCGUUGCUGUUCGUUUCUUCUUCGAGGCGUGCGGGAGGGGGAGCGGGGAGGGGACGACGGCGUGAGCAGCAAGAGCGCGCACGCCAGCCUGCAUCUGCCAAAGCCUCCCACCCCUCACCCUCUUCCCCGAUCGCCACACGCGGUGUUGGAGCGCGCAGCCCUCACACCGCGUCUCGCGCGCCCUGGCAUCUCCCUCCUCCAUUCUUGUACACACGUCUCUCCUUACCUUUCGUGUAUCAGUCAUUGACUCCACCCGUUUCUUUUUUUUUCUUUCGCUCGUUGCUGCUGCUGUUUUCCCUGCGCGUGUGCUUCGUUGUCUCCUCCCUUGUCUCAGCGUCCCCCGCUGCCGUAGGCUCGAAGACGUCGCCACGACGGCUGCGUCAUGCACGAUUGAAGCCUCCUCCUUUAUUCAUUGGCUUACGUCUCCUGCGUGCGUGUGCGUGUGCGUGUGCGUGUGCGUGUGCGUGUGCGCCAUCACCGUACCUCUAUUCUUCUACGUCUUCGUCUCUAUCCUCCACACACACACACACACUCCUCCCCAUCUUCCCCGUGCGCGUGUGGUGUUGUGGGGGCGCACGUUGUUCCGCUACGGCAUGCGUCCCCGCCCACCGACACGCGCCCCACCCCCUCCCCUCCCCUCCCUCCCCCUUCUAAAAGUGGCGUCCUGUCGCGCGAACAAGAGCAGUGCGCACCUCAAAACUGAGACGAGGACGCAUACCCGAUGCAGGCAUCCGCAGACAGCAACAGCCCCACGCGCCCCCUAAGCGCAGCCGUCGCGGAGGCGGCAGCACCGACGGCGGAACGCUCCGCCGGCGUCAUGGCGGAGGGCACCAGCGGCAACACCGCCGCUGUUCCGACCGGCGCUAACACCAGCGACACUACAAGGGCUGUCGAACACGUUGUGGAUGAACGCACGCCGCCUCUCGUCGCUGCGCCGGCGUCGUCAGCGGAGGGGCUAGCCAAGCUCCUCGCCAUGUGCCUCGAUCGCAUAUGCCGCCUUGAAGAGCGGCAAGCGCACGGAGAGGCGCGGCAGUGCAUCUUCGAUACCGCCCUAAAAGCUCUGUUCAUGCAGGCAUACGGGCGGCAGCCGCAGCAGCAGUCAUGUCGACAGGCAGCUGUAGAAGCGCACGGUGAGGAUGGCGAUGCCAAGGGCAGUGACGCACACGAUCGUGAGCGCAGCGAGCAGUAUCUCUGCAGUCGCCAUACCACCAGCUGUCGCACCUCGCCGUGGUCGCACGUGAAUCGACCAUCGGCUCUCGGUGGCAGCAGCAACAGCCACCACAGCGACGAUGGCUAUGAUCGCGCAGCAGCGUCAUCGGAGUCGCACUCACAGCAGCGCUGCCGCCGGCACCGCCCACUCCGCUACACGCAGGGAUCUGACAUGCACAGACCGUACGGCGCCGACGCGCCGGCCUCUUCUUCGUUGGAGUCCACGGCGCCCGCUGACACAUCCGCUGCUGCUGCUACUGCUGCGGGGGCAGCUGUGAAGGGAAGCGAGAGAGACAACGUCCACAUGAAUCACAGCACUGGCAGCCAACAUCACCGUCACCAGAGCCCUGGCGCUGUAGCAUCCACAGGCGCGAUCCCUUCGCCGUCCCCUGCUGGCCUCGCCAACACCAAGUGGAAGGAGGCGAGCAGUGGCACUGGCGCAGGUGUCGGGGGCGGAUGUGCGCAUGCUGUCCCCUCCGCAACUGCUGCUGGCAACUACCGGAAUACACUCACGGCAUCUGCGGCGGUAGCGAGUGGCAGCACCAACGAGCCGCCGAUGAUAUCGCACUUUGGUUCCUCUUCCGGCGGCGGUGGCGGUCGCCAGCGGCAGGGCUCUCUCGUCACAGUUGUCAGCCCAACGCACACGUCACAGGCGGAGGCGCACGCCAUCGCGGCGUCGGAGCUGAUCUCCGCUGGCGCCAGCAGUGCCCCUGCAAGCGCAACGCCAAUGAACGGCUUCACAUGGGCAGCUCCAGUGACGCUGUUCUCUUCGUCGGAGAACUCUCGUUGCUCUACGCCGGUCGAGUUCCACAUGUCAGCGCGUUCGUUAUCCCAGCAGCAGCAGCAGCAACCCCCCACGCAGCCGUCGACGGAGGAGUGGUCAUCGUGUAACAGCCGGCACCUAGCAGAACGCGCUGAAGAGAUCACUCAUGAUGGGCCAGACAUUGCUCCUUCGGCGCAUCCGCAGCAGCAGCGUGGCAGCCGACGGCACCUACGCUCGUCGCUCACGCACCUGGCACCCCUCGCCGAUCACCCUCAGCAUCCGUCAGCACGGCUCCAUCUACAGCCGACAUAUCGCAAAGGCGAGGAGCGCGAGGACCGCGAGUCGAGCUCUUCCUCUAGGCUCGCCGCCACGGCCUUACGAAGCGCCGGCAGUACCGCGACCAGCUCCGCCGCGCACACUGGCGAUGAACUGGACGCGCUCUACCACGCGCUGAGCACCCCUCAUCCCACCGCAUCUUCUCCUGCCUCCUCAGAGUCCGCAGCCACCAGCGGAGUUCAGGCAACUGGGAUGCCGCCUCGCAAGGUGCAGUUUCCUGUCGGCAUGGACAACACUACCGCUAUCAACGAGUUGUUCGCCCAGGCAGUGCAGAACACGAUGGAGACGACACGUAUGAAGGAUAACCUCACGGUUCUCGUGCGCAGCGUGCGCGAGGAGCGCGAGAAGCGGCGUCGGCUUCAGCGGCGCGAGGGGUCAGCCGUUCAGAGGCUCUUUCAACGGGUCUUGGAAAUGUCGUCGGUGAUGUUGCGGCUGCAGCGGGCAGUGCGACGGCUAGCGCUGGAGGCAAGCAGCGGUCGCGCCGCUGAAGCUGCAGGCUGGCACCACCACCACCACAACAGCAGCCACCGUCGGCGUCGUGGUGUGGAUAGCAGCAGGAGCGCCGGCGUCGGCGAUCAGGGCGAAGAUGGCGCUACUUGCGAUGGUGACGUCGACGACGGUGAGAACGAGUGGCACGAGCACUUGUGCGCGUCCUUCUCGACGGCCUCCGUGGCCAUCUCUCGCAGUCGCAGGAGCUGCAGCGUCAGCGGAAGCGGCCAUCGACAAAAUAUCAGUGACCGCUCGGGGAACGUCGGGUACGCGGCCCUCGCGGCGCCGUUCUCCUCGUGCGGGUCUCUCUCCGCCGGAUGUGAGCGCGUCGUGCCGGCCGUCGGUUCGCCGUGGCUUUCAUCGCUCAGCACGCAGUGCUCAACGGACGUGGCGCGCGGUGAGGCCAUUCCAGGCCGCGGUGGUGCGGCGACCACGGGCACAGCCACCAGCACGCCGGUAGUCGACGGUGUGUGCAACACGCCGACGUCGCCUGUCCCAUCUGGUACGCUUUCUUUUCAGCAACUCGCCGGGGCCACUGCUGUAACGGCAGCAGCGGCCCUUCCCAAGAUCAUCUCCAGCAGCAGUUCUCUCCAUUCCUUGGUCACCGCGAGCGCCGCCAUCACCACCAAUGUGAACACUACGACAGCAACUACCAUCACCACAACGGCUACGACAUCACGAGCAGCCAGCGCGACGUUGGUGCCGCAGUCGAUGGUGUCAUCAUUGGUGAGCGUGCCACGGCAAGAGCGCCCGCCCUCGCCGCUGCUGUCGCCGCCCGCGAUGCUGGACGUGUGCGCCACGGAGAGCAGGAGCAGCGCCGUCACCAGCGACUCAUCCGUCGUGCCGGCGCUGUCCAUAACGGACGUGCACUUCGGGCUGGCGCUCUCCCUGCACGCCAGUGCCGCCGAGGCCGAACUCCCUGCUCCGGCUCCCGCUGCUGCGGCGGGCCGCGGCAGCGCUGGCCCCCGUGCAGAGGGCGCCAGGAACAGCACGACCCCUGAUGCAGACGCGUGUAGUGGCGGCCGCUCGGGUCAGCGGUCGGAGGUGUAUGGUGCACAUCCCGACGGCGUGAAGGUCACGGAGCCGCAGAAGGCGCAGCGGCAUCUCACACAACCGCUGCAGCAACAACAACGCUGUCAAGACGUAUCCGGUGGGUCGUCGGCUCUGUCGUCUACCUCUUCGCGGUGCCGCCAACGAGAACACAGCAUGCGGCGAGCAGCCCCUGGGGCUAUCGCCACGACGGCGGUGCCGAUGCCCAUUCCUGGUGGGACCCAGCACUCUUUCGCGAGGGCGCGGCACCCACCUGCGCCGCCGCCGCCGCGGCAGGCCACCUCGUCGCGCAAGAGUCCCGCAUCUGCCUUCGCAGGCGCGAGCUCGGCUGCGGCUCGUGGAAGCAGCAGUGGCAGCAGCAGCGUGUCGGCGCGGCGCCUGCUCGAUGAUCUAAACAGCGAGCACCGCAGCGGCGCCGUCACCGGGGCGAGUACCGUCGUGGACGUCGCCGCUGAAGUCGGCACCAAGGGCCACGGUGGCAGCAGUGGCAUUGGGGCUGUAAACACGACGACCGCUGCCAGCGCCGACUCCCCUGUGGCGUCGCUGGCAUCCUCCGUUGCCGCACUCAAGCUCACCGGCUCUGCAGCCAGUCUAGUGUGCCGCACGUCGAACGCCGCGACGGCGACGACACUGGCUCAGCCGGCAAGCACACCGGUGACAGCCAGGCCGCGAUCAAGGCAGCAGAGGAGCGAAGCCAGCGUUGCCAAGCCGUCACCCGGGCGGCGAGAGGCGAGGCGGCCGUGGAGCGGUCUCAUCCAAUCUGCCGGCUCCGCCACACCCCGCAGCAAGGCACCUGCUGCCGAUUGUCGCGGCAACAUGAGGGACGAUGCCUGCGGUGCGGACGCGGCGGGUAGCACUGCCCUGCAAGGCCGCGAAGACCUGCCGACAUGGCGCGACGCGGCUACCAGCGCAUCGCCCACACAUAGCAGCAGUGAUCGCAGCCCCAGCUCGCACCCGCAGCACAGUCUGUUAUCGUCGUGGCUACAGAGCCCUCCCGUCCGAGUGGCAACGGCCGCGGGCGGUGACGACAAGACCAUACUGAGCCCCGUCACGCCAACCGGUGUCACUGCCAUGACCGCCGGUGGUGAGAGACGGUGCCGACCCUCCGCUGGCGCACAUCGGUCCCACAGCAGCAGCGGAAGCAUCGCCUCUACACCACCACGACGGCUGAAGGCCCCGCUGGCCCCCUCUCCGACCAGCACCGCCGCCGUCGGCGCGCUCCUCGCGCGCUUCUCGUCGCGGAGCUUGAAGUUUCAGCAGACGCAGCCCGUUGUCCCCAUCGCGGUCGCGCAUCAUCCGCGGCAGCUGCUGCAGACGACUGCCACCUCUCACCAGGCGAGGAAGUGGACCUCCAUUCCCUUGCUGUCGUCGGCCACGGUGUCAGGGACGCUGCCACACGUGCCGAUGGUGGCGUCCGUGAAGUCGGCCAGCAGCUUCCUACGCAUCACUCCGAUCCUUCUCUCAUCAAGUACGGCCCACCCGGCCUCCCCGGUGUCGCCCCUAGUCACCGGAAGCUCCGCGUCUGCGGGGACUGGUGCUGGUGGCAGCGGCGCGACCCCUGGGCGCCUUCCCGCGUGCAUCGCGCAGCCCGUGUCACCGCUCUCGUCGACGAGCCGCCUCGGCCAGUACCACCGCCCGCACUCCAGCAGGGCCCUGCACUUCAGUACCAACUGCAGCGGCAACAACAUGAACGCCUCCCUCGCGGCGCCCUGCACGCCGCCUCCCACGCCACCGCACGGCCACCCGCCGAGCCUGGCGCACCAGCAGUCUCGUGAUGCGGCGGUGCAAUCGCAGCAUGCAGUCGUCCUUUCCCGCAGCGCCGCCGCCCUCAUGCAGACGACGAAGACGCUACCACGCGUGGUCGUGUCCCCGCCCUCGCCGUCACGGUCGCCGCGUGUGACACCCUUGAGUGGUCCGAGGCGCACCAAACCACUGACCCCAGCAGCGGCAACGCCAGCGUCAUCGCAGCCGGCGCGAUCAGGCUACGAUGCUAAAACCCUGGCAAGGGCUGCCGUAUCCCCGACCGGGAAGACACAGCAACCGGCCAACUCUGCCAAGGUCUGUGGCAAGGCAAAACAAGCACCGCCAAGCUCACCUCUUGCCGGAUGCGAAAGUGCUGCUGUGGCAAGAGGUGCUGUGACGCACCAGCAAGCACUCUGCUCGUCAUCUCUCGUGGCCCACCACCCGUGCUCGAACCCCCUACAGCUAACAGAUGAUCCCGGCCACCGACAGCAGCAGCGGCUGCAGACGUCGUGCUCUGCGCAGGAGAGACGCAGCAGUCGACGUGCUCGCGCGGGUCUGCCGCCGCCACUGUCCGUUGAAACACUCUCAGACGCAUCCGUCUCCGCGCUGCGCACGAGCAGCGUGGGGACAACCGGGUCGAUGGACGUCGAGAAAGGCGUUAAGAAGGGCGACGUCGGUGACGGCGUGAGCGGGCUAGCGAUGCACAAUCAUGGCGGGGGCAGCUGCGCCACACUGGUCACCCUCUUUGCCGUCGCAGAUGCUGGUCAAAACCGAGGCUACUCGGCGCAGCUGCACGCGCCGGAGCUGAUCGCGGAGGGGGGGCAGGAAAAGAGCGGUAGAGAACGAUCAACGCCUGCCGCUGCGGCGGUGACAUCGUUGCCGGCUACCCCGACUGCAGUGGCGGCCGCAAGCGUGGCCGGCGUCAUGCGCAGCGCCAACCGCAUUAGCAGCGCCUCCGAUGCCGACGUGGACAGGGCCGCCGGUCUGGAGGCCGGAAAGCAUGUGGAUAACGACGACGACAGCUCUUUCCAGCACGCACUCCGACGAAUACCGUUGCAGCCGCAGCAACAGCAGCAGCGCCGGCGACCUCUGGGCGACGUGAACGCUGCAGAGCAGCCACCCAUUUGCUUUUCCUUCCUGUUCGACGCCAGCACACCUGUUUCCAUGCUCUCGAGCGCGCUGCAGCGCAACCGAAGCUCCUUGAGCCAGCAGCAGCAGCACCACUCACUGGCCGCUGCCAGCGUUGGUCCUGCAUCUGCCAUGCACAACGACGCAUCGCACGGCUCCUCCGCCUCGUCUUCGCAUACGCCGACACCCACCAUGACGUCUCCCUCCGACACGCGCUCCUCGUAAAUCGAGAGUGUUAAAGGUGCCGGUCGGUGCGGUGUAUGGACUUUUCAAGGCGGACGAACAGAUAGCGGCGGAGGGCGACGUCGGUGCGCCUACACACGCGUGGCGAAGGCUGUCGCGCACCCCGCACAUACACGCACACACAAGCAUGCAUACAUGUCAACGGUGGAGUAGCACCCCUCCCCUGUGUGCUGCAUCAUGCCCUCUCUCUCCCAAUCUCUUACCCUCAGCUGUCCAUUGUAUACUCUUUCGGGGAGUUGUUUGCUUCGCGUGCUUGGCGGUUGGGGUUCGUGUGUGUGUGUGUGUGGUGAUGGUGGUGGUGUGCAUGUGUGAUUGCACGGUGACGCUGAUGGAGGAUGAGGAUCAUCAUGAGGGUGGCAACUACACGUCCGCGUCUCGGAGCUCGUCGCUCAGACGGAGAAACCAACAGAGAAAAAAAAACACCAACGCAGCCGACGCUGCAAAGGCGAAGGCACUGGAUGUAUACGCGUGGGCGCAUACCUGCGUGUCUGUGGAACGCGAGCAUCACGCAGGCAAGCAGUAUGCCCUUCCUUUUGAGGCGGCGUGUGGGGACGCCACAAGGUACACCUCGGCGUCGCCUCCGUGCGCGCAUGUGUAUGCGCGAGUACGCACAUGCUCAGCCUCUACCUUUCUUCUUGUUGUGACCUUCCCUGCGCCCCCUCCCCCUUCACCACCGACCAACACACGUACAUCUCUACGUCCACGCGCCCGCCAUGCACACCGAAG